rnacentral:rRNA from 1 species
AACGGCCGUACCAUGCUGAAUAUACCGGAUCUCGUUAGAUCACCGAAGUCAAGCAUCAUUGGGCGCGGUCAGUACUUGGGUGGGUGACCACCUGGGAACACUGCGUGCCGUU